rnacentral:rRNA from 5 species
GAUUAAGUUAUUAAGGGCGCACGGUGGAUGCCUUGGCACUAGAAGCCGAUGAAGGACGUUACUAACGACGAUAUGCUUUGGGGAGCUGUAAGUAAGCUUUGAUCCAGAGAUUUCCGAAUGGGGAAACCCAGCAUGAGUUAUGUCAUGUUAUCGAUAUGUGAAUACAUAGCAUAUCAGAAGGCACACCCGGAGAACUGAAACAUCUUAGUACCCGGAGGAAGAGAAAGAAAAUUCGAUUCCCUUAGUAGCGGCGAGCGAAACGGGAAGAGCCCAAACCAACAAGCUUGCUUGUUGGGGUUGUAGGACACUCUAUACGGAGUUACAAAGGACGACAUUAGACGAAUCAUCUGGAAAGAUGAAUCAAAGAAGGUAAUAAUCCUGUAGUCGAAAAUGUUGUCUCUCUUGAGUGGAUCCUGAGUACGACGGAGCACGUGAAAUUCCGUCGGAAUCUGGGAGGACCAUCUCCUAAGGCUAAAUACUCUCUAGUGACCGAUAGUGAACCAGUACCGUGAGGGAAAGGUGAAAAGCACCCCGGAAGGGGAGUGAAAUAGAACCUGAAACCGUGUGCUUACAAGUAGUCAGAGCCCGUUAAUGGGUGAUGGCGUGCCUUUUGUAGAAUGAACCGGCGAGUUACGAUUUGAUGCAAGGUUAAGCAGUAAAUGUGGAGCCGUAGCGAAAGCGAGUCUGAAUAGGGCGUUUAGUAUUUGGUCGUAGACCCGAAACCAGGUGAUCUACCCUUGGUCAGGUUGAAGUUCAGGUAACACUGAAUGGAGGACCGAACCGACUUACGUUGAAAAGUGAGCGGAUGAACUGAGGGUAGCGGAGAAAUUCCAAUCGAACCUGGAGAUAGCUGGUUCUCUCCGAAAUAGCUUUAGGGCUAGCCUCAAGUGAUGAUUAUUGGAGGUAGAGCACUGUUUGGACGAGGGGCCCCUCUCGGGUUACCGAAUUCAGACAAACUCCGAAUGCCAAUUAAUUUAACUUGGGAGUCAGAACAUGGGUGAUAAGGUCCGUGUUCGAAAGGGAAACAGCCCAGACCACCAGCUAAGGUCCCAAAAUAUAUGUUAAGUGGAAAAGGAUGUGGCGUUGCCCAGACAACUAGGAUGUUGGCUUAGAAGCAGCCAUCAUUUAAAGAGUGCGUAAUAGCUCACUAGUCGAGUGACACUGCGCCGAAAAUGUACCGGGGCUAAACAUAUUACCGAAGCUGUGGAUUGUCCUUUGGACAAUGGUAGGAGAGCGUUCUAAGGGCGUUGAAGCAUGAUCGUAAGAACAUGUGGAGCGCUUAGAAGUGAGAAUGCCGGUGUGAGUAGCGAAAGACGGGUGAGAAUCCCGUCCACCGAUUGACUAAGGUUUCCAGAGGAAGGCUCGUCCGCUCUGGGUUAGUCGGGUCCUAAGCUGAGGCCGACAGGCGUAGGCGAUGGAUAACAGGUUGAUAUUCCUGUACCACCUAUAAUCGUUUUAAUCGAUGGGGGGACGCAGUAGGAUAGGCGAAGCGUGCGAUUGGAUUGCACGUCUAAGCAGUAAGGCUGAGUAUUAGGCAAAUCCGGUACUCGUUAAGGCUGAGCUGUGAUGGGGAGAAGACAUUGUGUCUUCGAGUCGUUGAUUUCACACUGCCGAGAAAAGCCUCUAGAUAGAAAAUAGGUGCCCGUACCGCAAACCGACACAGGUAGUCAAGAUGAGAAUUCUAAGGUGAGCGAGCGAACUCUCGUUAAGGAACUCGGCAAAAUGACCCCGUAACUUCGGGAGAAGGGGUGCUCUUUAGGGUUAACGCCCAGAAGAGCCGCAGUGAAUAGGCCCAAGCGACUGUUUAUCAAAAACACAGGUCUCUGCUAAACCGUAAGGUGAUGUAUAGGGGCUGACGCCUGCCCGGUGCUGGAAGGUUAAGAGGAGUGGUUAGCUUCUGCGAAGCUACGAAUCGAAGCCCCAGUAAACGGCGGCCGUAACUAUAACGGUCCUAAGGUAGCGAAAUUCCUUGUCGGGUAAGUUCCGACCCGCACGAAAGGCGUAACGAUUUGGGCACUGUCUCAACGAGAGACUCGGUGAAAUCAUAGUACCUGUGAAGAUGCAGGUUACCCGCGACAGGACGGAAAGACCCCGUGGAGCUUUACUGUAGCCUGAUAUUGAAAUUCGGCACAGCUUGUACAGGAUAGGUAGGAGCCUUUGAAACGUGAGCGCUAGCUUACGUGGAGGCGCUGGUGGGAUACUACCCUAGCUGUGUUGGCUUUCUAACCCGCACCACUUAUCGUGGUGGGAGACAGUGUCAGGCGGGCAGUUUGACUGGGGCGGUCGCCUCCUAAAAGGUAACGGAGGCGCUCAAAGGUUCCCUCAGAAUGGUUGGAAAUCAUUCAUAGAGUGUAAAGGCAUAAGGGAGCUUGACUGCGAGACCUACAAGUCGAGCAGGGUCGAAAGACGGACUUAGUGAUCCGGUGGUUCCGCAUGGAAGGGCCAUCGCUCAACGGAUAAAAGCUACCCCGGGGAUAACAGGCUUAUCUCCCCCAAGAGUUCACAUCGACGGGGAGGUUUGGCACCUCGAUGUCGGCUCAUCGCAUCCUGGGGCUGUAGUCGGUCCCAAGGGUUGGGCUGUUCGCCCAUUAAAGCGGUACGCGAGCUGGGUUCAGAACGUCGUGAGACAGUUCGGUCCCUAUCCGUCGUGGGCGUAGGAAAUUUGAGAGGAGCUGUCCUUAGUACGAGAGGACCGGGAUGGACAUACCUCUGGUGUACCAGUUGUCGUGCCAACGGCAUAGCUGGGUAGCUAUGUGUGGACGGGAUAAGUGCUGAAAGCAUCUAAGCAUGAAGCCCCCCUCAAGAUGAGAUUUCCCAACUUCGGUUAUAAGAUCCCUCAAAGAUGAUGAGGUUAAUAGGUUCGAGGUGGAAGCAUGGUGACAUGUGGAGCUGACGAAUACUAAUCGAUCGAAGACUUAAUCAA